GAUGAACGCUAGCGAUAGGCCUAACACAUGCAAGUCGAGGGGCAUCACAUGAAGUAGCAAUACGGAUGGUGGCGACCGGCGCACGGGUGAGUAACACGUAUGCAACCUGCCUUCAACAAGGGGAUAACCCGUUGAAAGACGGACUAAUACCCUAUAACACAGGGGUCCCGCAUGGGGAAUAUUUGUUAAAGGACAACCGGUUGAAGAUGGGCAUGCGUUCCAUUAGCUAGUUGGCGGGGUAAGGCCCACCAAGGCAACGAUGGAUAGGGGAACUGAGAGGUUUAUCCCCCACACUGGUACUGAGACACGGACCAGACUCCUACGGGAGGCAGCAGUGAGGAAUAUUGGUCAAUGGACGCAAGUCUGAACCAGCCACGUCGCGUGAAGGAAGACGGCCCUACGGGUUGUAAACUUCUUUUGCAAGGGAAUAAAGUGGGCCACGUGUGGCCUUUUGCAAGUACCUUGCGAAUAAGGAUCGGCUAACUCCGUGCCAGCAGCCGCGGUAAGUACUGACU
rnacentral:rRNA from 1 species